GAUGAACGCUGGCGGCGUGCCUAACACAUGCAAGUCGAACGAACGCACGAGAAGCUUUCUUCCCUGAUGGUAGCGGCGGACGGGUGAGUAACACGUGGAUAACCUACCUAUAAGACUGGGAUAACUUCGGGAAACCGCAGCUAAUACCGCAUAAUAUUUUGAACCGCAUGGUUCAAAAGUUAAUGACGCUCUUGCUGUCACUUAUAGAUGAAUCCGCGCUGCAUUAGCUAGUUGGUAAGGUAACGGCUUACCAAGGCAACGAUGCAUAGCCGACCUGAGAGGGUGAUCGGCCACACUGGAACUGAGACACGGUCCAGACUCCUACGGGAGGCAGCAGUAGGGAAUCUUCCGCAAUGGGCGAAAGCCUGACGGAGCAACGCCGCGUGAGUGAUGAAGGUCUUCGGAUCGUAAAGCUCUGUUAUUAGGGAAGAACAUAUGUGUAAGUAACUGUGCACAUCUUGACGGUACCUAAUCAGAAAGCCACGGCUAACUACGUG
rnacentral:rRNA from 1 species